UACGUAGGGGGCAAGCGUUGUCCGGAUUUAUUGGGCGUAAAGAGCGUGUAGGCGGCCUCACAGGUCUGCUGUGAAAACUCGAGGCUCAACCUCGAGCUGUCGGUGGAAACCGUGUGGCUAGAGUCCGGAAGAGGAGAGUGGAAUUCCCGGUGUAGCGGUGAAAUGCGCAGAUAUCGGGAGGAACACCUGUGGCGAAAGCGGCUCACUGGACCACAACUGACGCUGAGGCGCGAAAGCUAGGGGAGCAAACAGG
rnacentral:rRNA from 1 species